CCAAGAUGCCAGGUUACUGCAGCCAAAGUCAGGUUACUGUUAGUAAACACAUCUAGCAAAGCAAAAGUAACACAUUUGACUUGAUAUUGAGAUAUAAGCUCUUUCAAAGGCAAUUACUCCUCCUUUCAAUCUCUGAAGGGCUCUGACUCAUUGUUCUGAUUAAUUCCUGUUUUUAAUCUAUUUACAGAUCAGGAUUCUUUUUCAGCUAGUGUGAUAUUCAUCUCUGUGGGGGUAGACAGAAACCACAGCACGUACAGUCUUCCUACUUUUUUUUUUUUUUUUUUAGUUAUUCUUGCUUAAUCAUUUUAAAAUUAUUUCUGGAUUUACCUACUCACCAUAUGAGCUGGGGUUUCUGACCUCCCUCCUGCACAUCACGCCCUCCUUGUCUGUUGCUUUUUCUAGCUCUGUUUCCCUGCAUCUUGGGUUGAGGUUAGCAGACUGGCUACCCCUUUCCCAGAGCUCUGUUCCCCUUUCUUUGCCUCUGAAAGGAGGUUUGCUGUCCUUACCGUAGCGGACACCGUUUGUUAUUAAAUAAUACCUCUGGACACAUCUCCUUGUUGUAAAUCAAUAAGCAAAUGCAAUACAGGGAAAGACAUACGGAUUGGAGAGUUGUACGGAGCUUUGCACAAGCAGAGCCCAGAAGCUGUUCGUUCAUUUCACGCGACCAGAAAAAAUUCCUGAUGGUGCUAUGACCCCGGUGCCCGGUUGGCACUUCCUGGUUUUCUGUUUCUGCUAUUCUGUUACCUGCUUGGUUAGCUUUGCAGGCUCCUCAGAGAACACAGAAACAGCUGAAACCAGGGUCCGAGCUCAGGAAACCUGGACUACAGCGCAGCAGGGUAAACCUGACAAAUAAACGCGACGGGGAACUCCGUCCCAAGCUGCUGAUCUAUGGAAUGAAGCAACACCUCAUCAAGAGAAGCAACCUGGGCAAACCAGGCCUGGUUUAACUGCACUUUCUCACGUUUGAUCAUUUUCUCAAGAGAUACGUGCGUGGUCCUCUGCAAUUCAGAAUGAAAUCUGAACUUCUGGAAAAACUCUCCUAGAGGGGGUUUGAGGACAAGAGGUAAGACCCAGACAAGGGAAAUUUGGACACAGACAUACAAAGAGGAGAGAAUGCUAUAUGAAGACACAGAGACAGACAGACCCAGAGAACAGAUGGCCAUGUGACCACAGAGGCUGUGAUUGGCAUUGCAUAGCUACAAGCCAGGAAACUCUGAGGAUUUCCAGAAACCUCCAGAAGUUAGUAGAGAGGUAUGGAAUAGAUUCUCCCCAUGCCUGAGCUGCCAAGAAGGAACUAAGCCUGCUGAUACCUUGAUUUUGGACAUCUGGCCUCCUGAACUGUGAGAGAAUAAAUUUCUGUUGUGUUAAGCCAUUCAGUUUGUGGUACAACAGCCCUGGGGAACUAAUACAGCACUUCUUAGUCAACCCAAGGAGAGGGCUCAUUUGCAGGAUGGAAUUCCUCCCCUUUUUAACAUUUAGCCAUCUAGUCGCAAUGGUGGGCAGGUUCUAAAUUGAUAGCCAUUUCCACUGACUUUGCUAGAGUAAAUAUUUUGCGUCCUCCCAUCCCUCUCUCAUGCCCCACCACUGUCAUUAAACAAGGCAGAAGAAUUCAAAGCACUUACCUUGAUGAAACAUUUCUUUGGGUCAUUAUAGUUUCAAGGAUUAGAAUUUUCCACUUGUUAUUCCAAGCAUUUGUUUGCCUGAGCACUUUCUAUCAUGGUCCAUAAAAUACUGUGUAAGUCUCAUCACUCCAAUAGUUUCUCUUUUAACCAAGUCCAAUUGUUCCAGGAUACAAUCAGUAUAAUCAAAAUAUUUCAAAAGUUGAAAUCAAUGAAAAACAGGUGGCUUUCUUUUUCUUGAGUCUUUUGUCCAAAAUGAUGGGUUCACACAUAUAUUUUGCCAUGAAAUAAUUUCUUCCAUUAUUUCUUUGGUAAUUAUGAAAUAAUCCUAAACUACAAGCAAUUUUAAAGAUGAGAUUCAAAAAAACUUUAAGUGAUUUUUGGCAUCCUUAAACUAUUAUGACAAUUAUCUCAAUCACUGGAAGAAAAGUAUAGGUGUGGUUUGGACACAGGUGCAAAUAACAUAGUAAUCAAAAUGCUGAUAAAGCAAUCCUCUUCCCAGUCAACCAUUUGACUAAAUAAGUAACUUUAGGUUUGACCUCAAUUAAUGAGGUAUAUUCAGGUUUCAAAGCAGGUUUAGAAGUGUAUGAACUAUGAACUAUGACUCCCAAAUAUAAUUGUUACCUAUCUGAUACCCAAGCUAGCAGAAACUAUGACUAUCAGUGCAGUUAUGCAACUAUAAAAAGCAUCAGGAGAGUUAUGCAACUAUAAAAAUCAUCAGGAGAGUUAUCAAGUAAGAUGUUAGUUGACCAUUUAAGACAGAAAAUAGAGAUAUCUUAAAAUUAGAAGUGAGUCACAUGAAUAGAAAUACCACUGGUGGAGAGGGAGAAAGCUUCUAACUUUUCUUACCAAAUAUUGCUAGUUCCUUGAAAUAAUCAUUAUUAGUAUUUUGGCUAAUCUUAUUAUUGCCACUAGGAAAAAUUCCUUAGGGUAUUUCAGCCUUUAACAUCCUUAGGAUCCUGAGAGGGGGAAACACACAGAAAGGCAGAAAAUUAGGAUUAUGUUACUUAGAUGAUUGGAGAAGAAGAUCUCUUCCCCUAUGAAAGCCAACAUAUUUUAUACAUAGUUCAUGGCUGAUUACAUAAUACAUGGUGUUCAGUGAAAAAUGAAAAUGCAGGACCCCUUGUUCAAAAAUCAGGAAACAGGUGUUGUAUAUGAACAUUUUUCCUUUCUUUCAUGGCCUUUCUUAAAUUGUCAUGAUGUUUUUCACUUGUUCUUUAAUGUCAUUCUAAGUAAAGAAUAAUUAAAAUGUUAAUUAUUAGCAUGAACUUCACUAUUCAUCUUUAUACUGUACCAUGCCAGUUUUAAAUGCUAGUUUAAAUAUAAGAGCACUUAACUCAAACACAGAAUCACUGAAAUUAUACAAUUUGUAACUUGUAGUUUCUACAUGUUUAUGUAUUUUUCUUACCAGAACAAUGGAAACACUGAACAAAGCUGACUUGGAUGUUGCUAUUUAGUUUGGUAUGCACACAUUCUACCAAUGCUCUCCACUUUUGGCUUACUAACGAGUGAGGAAUGACUGAAAGAAAAAGGAACACGAAUUGCAUUAUCUUUCACUGUUCUUCUAUGUCAUAAUUUUCACAUCAGUGGUUGACUAAUGCAGGGAAGUAAUACAAAUGAGAAAAGAUAUAGUAAGGUUCCUUGGUCAUUAGUAUUUCUUAGAAUAUAAUUGGUCUCUUUCUGAAAUUCUAGCGAAAUUCUGAUUCCAGUUGAAAGUGUGGCCUCUCAGGGCUAUCUGCAAUUGCUUACUUAGUUGUCUAUUGCUUACUCAAUUGCUUACCCCAACAACCAGCUUACUCUUUACUCAACUGAGGUCUUGCUGAACCUCCACACAUACAGCACCAGUGCACUGGAAAUCUGUGUUCAUGGGCCUUGAAGAACAUUAUCUGUGAAUGGCACAACAAGGUACGUCAGACAUGCACAUUGCACAUAUAUCCUGUACUCAAGCAUAUGCUGCAUUGUUUCGUUGCAUUUUACAUACAAAAG
rnacentral:lncRNA from 1 species